AGAGUUUGAUCCUGGCUCAGGAUGAACGCUAGCUACAGGCUUAACACAUGCAAGUCGAGGGGCAGCAUUUCAGUUUGCUUGCAAACUGGAGAUGGCGACCGGCGCACGGGUGAGUAACACGUAUCCAACCUGCCGAUAACUCGGGGAUAGCCUUUCGAAAGAAAGAUUAAUACCCGAUGGUAUAAUCAGACCGCAUGGUCUUGUUUAUUAAAGAAUUUCGGUUUCGAUGGGGAUGCGUUCCAUUAGGCAGUUGGUGAGGUAACGGCUCACCAAACCUUCGAUGGAUAGGGGUUCUGAGAGGAAGGUCCCCCACAUUGGAACUGAGACACGGUCCAAACUCCUACGGGAGGCAGCAGUGAGGAAUAUUGGUCAAUGGGCGCAGGCCUGAACCAGCCAAGUAGCGUGAAGGAUGAUGCCUAUGGGUUGUAAACUUCUUUUAUAUGGGAAUAAAGUUUUCCACGUGUGGAAUUUUGUAUGUACCAUAUGAAUAAGGAUCGGCUAACUCCGUGCCAGCAGCCGCGGUAAUACGGAGGAUCCGAGCGUUAUCCGGAUUUAUUGGGUUUAAAGGGAGCGUAGGUGGACAGUUAAGUCAGUUGUGAAAGUUUGCGGCUCAACCGUAAAAUUGCAGUUGAUACUGGCUGUCUUGAGUACAGUAGAGGUGGGCGGAAUUCGUGGUGUAGCGGUGAAAUGCUUAGAUAUCACGAAGAACUCCGAUUGCGAAGGCAGCUCACUGGACUGCAACUGACACUGAUGCUCGAAAGUGUGGGUAUCAAACAGGAUUAGAUACCCUGGUAGUCCACACAGUAAACGAUGAAUACUCGCUGUUUGCGAUAUACAGUAAGCGGCCAAGCGAAAGCAUUAAGUAUUCCACCUGGGGAGUACGCCGGCAACGGUGAAACUCAAAGGAAUUGACGGGGGCCGCACAAGCGGAGGAACAUGUGGUUUAAUUCGAUGAUACGCGAGGAACCUUACCCGGGCUUAAAUUGCAUUUGAAUAUAUUGGAAACAGUAUAGCCGUAAGGCAAAUGUGAAGGUGCUGCAUGGUUGUCGUCAGCUCGUGCCGUGAGGUGUCGGCUUAAGUGCCAUAACGAGCGCAACCCUUAUCUUUAGUUACUAACAGGUCAUGCUGAGGACUCUAGAGAGACUGCCGUCGUAAGAUGUGAGGAAGGUGGGGAUGACGUCAAAUCAGCACGGCCCUUACGUCCGGGGCUACACACGUGUUACAAUGGGGGUACAGAAGGCAGCUACCUGGUGACAGGAUGCUAAUCCCAAAAGCCUCUCUCAGUUCGGAUCGAAGUCUGCAACCCGACUUCGUGAAGCUGGAUUCGCUAGUAAUCGCGCAUCAGCCAUGGCGCGGUGAAUACGUUCCCGGGCCUUGUACACACCGCCCGUCAAGCCAUGAAAGCCGGGGGUACCUGAAGUACGUAACCGCAAGGAGCGUCCUAGGGUAAAACUGGUAAUUGGGGCUAAGUCGUAACAAGGUAGCCGUACCGGAAGGUGCGGCUG
rnacentral:rRNA from 1 species